GGGCCCUUAGCUCAGUGGUAGAGCGUGUGAUUCCAGAUAUGUAUCCACAAGGUCGUGCGUUCAACUCGCUCAGGGCUCA